rnacentral:rRNA from 1 species
UACGUAGGUGGCAAGCGUUGUCCGGAUUUAUUGGGCGUAAAGCGAGCGCAGGUGGUUUAUUAAGUCUGGUGUAAAAGGCAGUGGCUCAACCAUUGUAUGCAUUAGAAACUGGUGGACUUGAGUGCAGGAGAGGAGAGUGGAAUUCCAUGUGUAGCGGUGAAAUGCGUAGAUAUAUGGAGGAACACCGGUGGCGAAAGCGGCUCUCUGGCCUGUAACUGACACUGAGGCUCGAAAGCGUGGGGAGCAAACAGG